rnacentral:rRNA from 1 species
CCUACGGGUGGCUGCAGUGGGGAAUAUUGGACAAUGGGCGAAAGCCUGAUCCAGCCAUGCCGCGUGUGUGAAGAAGGCCUUCGGGUUGUAAAGCACUUUCAGUGGGGAAGAAAGCCUUGGGGCUAAUACCCUCGAGGAAGGACAUCACCCACAGAAGAAGCACCGGCUAACUCCGUGCCAGCAGCCGCGGUAAUACGGAGGGUGCGAGCGUUAAUCGGAAUUACUGGGCGUAAAGCGCGCGUAGGCGGUCUGAUAAGCCGGUUGUGAAAGCCCCGGGCUCAACCUGGGAACGGCAUCCGGAACUGUCAGGCUAGAGUGCAGGAGAGGAAGGUAGAAUUCCCGGUGUAGCGGUGAAAUGCGUAGAGAUCGGGAGGAAUACCAGUGGUGAAGGCGGCCUUCUGGACUGACACUGACGCUGAGGUGCGAAAGCGUGGGUAGCAAACAGGAUUAGAUACCCUUGUAGUC